CAUGGAAUGAAUAUACCACAAUUCAUUUUAUCUUCUACUAUUGAUGAACAUUGGGUUGUUUUCAGUUUGGAGCUAUUAAGAAUGGUGUUGGACUUUGGUGAUGGGCCAUCUCUUUGACCAAGAUGUACAGGACUGGGAGGUUAAGGUGGAAGGAGAGCAGAAAGAGUUACAGAGGCAGCUAAGUGCAGUUAAGAAUCUGUAUUUUGAUGGACC